ensembl:lncRNA
UAAAGUGCACUUUUUUUUUAAGAGGUUAAAUGCAUACAUUUUAUAAUGUACAGAUAAUCGAUUAAACAAGCGGCUAACACAGGUUGUUUCAGUUUUUACAUGCUUUCAUCACCCACAGCCGGUGACUGUUUGGUCUGGUAAAUGACUGAUCUGUUUAUAUGAUCUGCAGCAAGUCAUUAUGGCAGCCUGCCGCUUGGGCGACAUCUCCCUCCCUGUGUGGCAUUCCCAGCGACAUUCAUAAAAUACCGAAUAGCCAAAGCAGUUCAGGCCACACUGUCCUCUAAUAUGUGUGCUUUUUGACAAACAUGUUAAUAAUUAUAAAUGGAAAGAAGAUGGAAGGCCAAUUAGAAGAAGUCUGCUUGUGUGCCUGGCAUGCAAUUUUUACAUUUUGUUAGGAGGAAACCUUCAAAUUAUUUCAUGUUGGUUUCAAUCAAAUUGCACGGCAAUACAAACUCACCAAAACAUUUUAAAAGGUAUUCUGUAAAUUGACGGAUUAAACUCAAGAAAGUGUAGUUUGUUACUAUUACUGGCAUUUUUUUCCAAUACUACUGAUUCAAAAGAAAAUUUGAUUUAAAAUAGUCUAAUCUCAUUUGACAUGUCAAUACUUCAUUGAAACAAAUUUAAAAUAUGUUUGCUGUUUCAUUAGGAAGCCAUUAAGGUCCAUUAGGGCUUUAAUGGCUUCCUAAUUUAACAUUUGAACUCCAUAGGUGUUCAAAGUAAGCCCAUAUUACGACUUGUUGAUAAAUGUUGAAUCUUGACUUCCCUGUUCUUUCAAUGUAGGUCUGCGUUAUCACAAUUAUUAAGGUCAAAUUAGAUGUGAGGCCCGGUAUCCCCGGUUAAUGACGCUACAAUGGUGCUAAAACGCUAGCGUGCGAAUUGUUUAUUUUAUCUAAGAAUGCAGCUCUAGUUAGCGGUCUGCCUCAGUACUAAACAACACGACAGUCAUAUCUCUGCUUGAGUUGUCUAUGCUUCCUACGCUCGUCUGGCUUGUUUGUUUUAGUAUUACAGCGCCAGUCAUGCCCACCAUCCUGCUACUGGCACUUGUGUUUAAGAUGAAAGGCGUUGUUGAUAGGCACAUGUUAAUAUCAUAUCUUAGUUUCUUGCCAUUUCUAUGUUCAUUCAUUGUGUUGUGAUGGAUGUACUGCUGGGUUUUCAAAAACCAACCAUGAUAAAGGCAGAUUCAUCUAGUUGAUGUCAAUAUUCUGUAAAUUGUUUCAUACAGAGCCGGAAUAUGAGGGGCAGUUCAAUUUUAAUCACCCCUCAUCAGAAGCAAUCAUAGAGGUAAACUGUAGACAGGAAUUAGAUAAUUAAUAAUCAGCCCUUGUCCUCAAUUACCCGACAAUUGAAAAGGCAGAAGGGCAUAUUCCAAGCCAUAUUAUGCCAAGCUGCUAUAAAAAAAAGGCCUAUUGAUCACAUGGCAACAUCUUGCCAACAGUCCCUCUGUCGUACUGAGAUCUGAAAUCUGAGCAGAGAUGGAACAGAGAUUGAUUUGCUUUUUUCUGUGCAUAUGUAAUUGGUCCCCUUUACAGUGUUUGUGGGUGUGCUCAAGCUGUUUUUCCAUCAGUGGCAAAAAAGGAUGAAUUCAUAUGAUCAGAGCUGUGAGCAAGGAACUGGACCUCAUCAGUGUUUUAAGACUGGAAACCUAAAAUCAAUCGGUAAAUUAAUUGAUUGAUGGAUGAUCAGUGGUGCUACACCAUUUAGCUUAGGAAACCUUUCAAUCGGUUUAAUGAGCAAGAUUGUCACUUAAGUGAUAGAGGCAAUGCAGUUUGCAUACUCUGACCAUUCUGAGCUUUUAUUUGUAAUUUUCUCCAACUUUACUCAAUUGGAUGGAUAUUUAUUUAUUUAUUAUAAUAUGGAUUGUUCUUCCCCGAAGACUUGUUUCUUGCAAGAAACACCACUUAAAACCUCACCCAGCCAGUUGUUGCCUUUUGAUAAUAAUAAAUGAACAGAUUUGGUGUUUCUUGCAUUUGUCAGCUGUCAUUACUGUUAAAGUUUGCUUUAACCAGAGAAACCGAGCAAAGAAGAAAUUGUAUUGAUCAUUUGUCCGGCAGGCAGGAGACUCAGCGACAUGGAUUAAGGAAGGGAAGCAGUAAAAGUGCAAAAGCGUGAAUAUUGGAAAGAAGUAAGUACAUUGCAAACUAAAAAUAAAGGAAAGUAAAUUGGAAAGUAAAAAUAAAGGAGAGCAUGGAAAAAAACUCCAGCUUCCCCGAGAGGAGAGGUUGGCACAUAGCAGCUGUCAGAUUAGUUAAGGGGGAGCGAUGGUAAGCCAAGUGGAGAUGGCUGAACUUUUCACUGCCUAUCUCUUAGCUCCCUUUGGUGGGGCCGUGGUCAUUUUCUAAAGAUAUUUACUGUCACUGCAUGCACUUGGGCAUCACUGUUCUCCCACUAAGUGUUCCCAGCGCCAGUCCCCUGUGAUGCUGGCUAGCAGUUAACUGACAGAACAACAACAAAGGAUGACAAGUGUUCAACCAGCUUGGUUACCUCACAUGUCUAAAUAUUUGAUUUUUUUGCCAGUCACCCGAGUCCUCGGGUGUCUGGCAGGUAAUGGUGUAGAAGGGAGGGAGCUAACAGGACGUUGGGAAACUUGCAUUUCUGCGAAGUGCUGAGAGUUUGCCAUAAUAAUAAUAAUAAUAAUAAUAAUUACGACCAGUAGCAGUGACCAAACGGAACCACAGCGCUGCACACUGGGAGCGCAAAACGAAUCUAUAUAUAAAAAAAAAUCAAAACGCAACGAGCCUCUACUAUCGGAAGCGAUCGCGCAGUGACCUGACGUGAUUUUUUUAUUUUGUUUUUGCCCCCCCCAAUGGCAGGUGAUCUGCCGGCACCGCAUUGCUGAACGGCCUGGUCCUCCUGGUCAAACUCAUGCGCUCACUCAGAGUGCGACCCGCAGUGGACUUUUUAGGAUAAGCAGAUAUCUAUAUUUUUUAUUUUAGGCUUCAACUGUUUUUUCAAACAAUGGAGUCAAUAAAUCCAUUAACCAACUGUCUACAAUCAAAUGGUCACUUGUAGAUUUACACUAUUGGAGCAGUUGGCACCAUACUGCAAAUGCGGUAUAGACCGUAAAUAGAUUUAUGUGGUUUACAAUAUUGAACUACAAUUAUAGUACUGCCUUGUAUUGUAUAUGUGAGCUGGCUUUUUCACCUCCUACCUAAUAAUAGUAAUAAUUUAUUCAAAGAAAAACUACAGACUGUCUCUUCUUCCCUUUUUGUCAAACUCUUGAAUGUUCGAUCUUUAACCAACUCUCCUCCUAUCUCCACCGUAACAACCUCCUUGACCCCCACCAGUCAGGCUUCAAGGCAGACCAUUCCACAGAGACUGCUCUGCUUGGUGUCUCAGAGCAACUCCACAAUGCUAGAGCCGCCUCUCUCCCUUCUGUCCUUCUGGACCUUUCUGCUGCAUUUGACACAGUCAACCACCAGAUCCUUAUUUCCUCCCUUCAGGAACUUGGUUUCUCAGGCUCUGCCCUCUUCCUUCUCUCGUCCUACCUCGACGGCCGCACCUACCGUCGAUAACACCCAAAUAAUUCUCUCCUUCCCUCACUCGGACACUCAUGUGGCGGCACGGAUCUCUGCCUGUCUGACUGACCUCUCUCAAUGAAUGUCCGCUCACCAUCUGAAAAUCAACUCCGACAAGACUGAACUACUUUCCAGGAAAAGGUUCUCCGACCCAGUUCUUGACGGUUAACUUUAGCAACUCCGUGCUAACGCCCACUUUGACCGCUGGGAACCUCGACGUGACACUCGACAGCCAACUCUCCCUGACUCCCAACAUCACUGCAACAACACAAUCCUGUAGAUACACUUUCUACAACAUCAGGAGAAUAUGUUCCCUUCUCACUCAGAAGGCAGCCCAGGUACUGAUUCAGGCUCUUGUCAUCUCACGCCUGGACUACUGUAGCUCCCUCCUGGCAGGUCUCCCUGCUACCGCCAUUCGACCUUUGCAGCUCAUCCAGAAUGCAGCAGCUCGACUGGUCUUUAACCUUCCAAAAUUCUCCCACACUACUCCACUUCUCCGCUCUCUUCACUGGCUACAAGUGGCUGCCCGCAUCUAGUUCAAAACAUUGGUGCUCAUGUACCAUGCUGUGAAUGGAUCGGGUCCAGCUUACAUCCAGGACAUGGUCAAAUCCUAUAUCCCGACCCGCACUCUCCGCUUUGCAUCUGCAAAACUACUCGUUCCUCCCUCACUGAGAGCAAAACACUCAACUAGAUCACGACUCUUCACUGAAAUGGUGGAACAAGCUCUCACCAGGACGGCAGAGCCUUCACAGGCAGAGCCUUCCGCCACAAACUAAAGACGCACCUCUUCACUCUACCUCGACUAAAAGACUUAACAAAUUGUAGCACUUAAAUUAUCCUUGUAACGCCACUUAUUUAUAGCAAAUUGUAAAUUGGCUUAUUUGAGGAAAUUGCACUUUCUUGUUCGGAGUUUGUACCCCUAUGGUUGAAUGCACUUAUUGUAAGUCGCUUUGGAUAACAGCGUUAGGUAAAUGACGGGUAAUGUAAAAAAACAUGGUCUCUUAUUCCCUCCUCUUAAACCAGGGGCUUUGUGUUGGCUUUCUGUCUGUCUGAAGGCUGUCAGCCAAGCUGCUGUUGUCAGAGGCUUUGGUCUCAAAUACCACUUCAAGGUUUUAUUCAAUCAGCCAUUCGCCCGGUCUCCCAGCACGCCAUGCAUCGAUGUUGGUUUGGAGCCCCUCACACACAGUAAGCCGCUGAAUUUGAGAUAGUCGUAGAGCAACAUAAGCAGCCGUCCAGCUGUGGAUUGACGGGGGAGAAAAAUGUGCACAUAAACACACACAAGCGAUUUGGAAGCCUGUUAUUGAUCCGAUCAUCUUAUUGCUGACUGCAAUGUAGUGCAUUCAUGUCAAAAGGGAUGUUAAAUGCCACUUUGCUGCACAAGGGGCAUUCAAUCCAGGUAGCUUGGCUUAGAAAGUAUAACAUCACUUGAAACACUAGAAGUUAUAUUCUUGGCACAGACCGUCUAGCUGUAUUGGCGCUUUCUUUUAACCAGACUCUGGUGGACCUUGGGAAUAAAUUGCCAACACACAUUAGCGUGUCAUCUACCAAUGGGCCUUUUUUAACUAGCAGUAAAACCUAAUAUUCACUUCCCACGUCUCUUCUCUGCUCAAAGUGUGGGAAGCCGGAAUAGUAAAUGUAAUGGGGAUGUUCAAUCUAGAGUCCUCACUCCUCCGCUGGGUCUACUUAAAGUAGAGAUGGCAAGUUUACUGCCUUUGGGAAGAUUUUGUUUAUCACAGCGACGUUAAUGAUUUAGCAUCAGUUCUGUGCAGGUGCUGAGGAAGUAUUAAACCUAAUAGAAUGGCAACUUUUGAUGUUGACAAUCAUUCCUGAACGACGUCGGACUUAUCCAUGAUAUCACACCGCCCAAUAGUGUUGCACGGUGUACCGAUACUAAAGGUCCUGCGCUGUCCGAACGUGAUAAAAACACAAUAUUGUAUAUUUUUACUUCUCAGUGUGCGCUGACCGUGCCUGAUCGAAUGAGAGACAGGCACCCAAUCUGCACUCCUACACACUCACGGAUUUCCGCAAAUUUGUAUUUGACGCUGAUUUAGCUCAAGAGAAUUACAAGUCAUUGCAAUGUGACAUCAAAAAUGGGAUAACCAGUUAAAGCAUGGGGACUUAAAAGGACAGCGUAUGUAUGUAUGUGUGCGUGUGUAUGUGGGAAAACGCAUUCAACUCCGAAGGUAAUAAAUACACUUUAAAUCCAUAUAUUUAAAGGUUCUCUCGAUGACAUGACAUUCAUAUUUACACACUGUAAUGCCCUCACACUCAACAACUGACCAGGUGACGUCCGAUAAGUCUCCUAUGGUUCAGGAGGGAGAUUGGGAUUGGGCCAUGGCCUCCAGUCCAUAAGCUUUUGCGGACUGUCCUUGGUUUGUUGGGGAAAAAGGAUGCCAGAAGUGAAAUGUGGAAGUACUUUAUCUACAUUAUAUAGCCAUGUGAAAUCAAUGCUAUGAUGCCACCAUGUAGUUUUCACUUCUACUAAUAUUAAUGCCAUUUGUCAAGUCAAGCGGGGCAGGAACAUGCAGGCAAAAAGGGAACCAUACAGAUGAUGUAGAUAAUUAUACCAGUAUUGUAUUUGCUCUGCUAAGUGAAUGGAAAAACGUGUUAUGAAAACAAUGUGAGAUAUUUAAUAUAGAGUAAUACAUUUCUCCAGUAGAACUAGGUACGUCUAGUUCUCCAACGGGCUUUGUUAGGUAAACUAAAUUCUUUGAUUUUGACCAACCACCUUUUGUAGCAUUCUUGUGCAUUAAAAAUAUAACUAGAAAAAAUGUUUUGCUCAGAUGAGGCUUUCCGUUCAGGAACAGGUCAGGUGUUUUAGUAGAGUGAAAGGUCAGGUAAAUUUAAACUUACUCCCAAGAUACUCAGGUCUAUUUUUUUUCUUUAGCUUUUAUUUUGUAUUUGGCACGAGAAGUACUUGCAGGUUACAGUCAAUAUAGAACGGGUCUAUACAUUUUUUCUUUAAAUCAAAAACCGACCAAAUAGCCUAAUGGUAUUUAUCUUCAUACACGACGGUGUGUCAUUCCCAUCUCUUUAUGGUCGCACGUUUACUAUUCUCCUCCGCUCUCUGAAUCUCAUACAGCGGAGUACCGCCCCGAGUCGCACACCCCCACAAGCGGACAGAGAGCGUGUGUAAGAUGUGUCUGUCUGUAUGCCCCCGAUCACGCCUCUCAGGGGAAACGCUGCACGUGUAACAUUUCCUCCUUGAAUUUGAAACUGAGAUACUGACAGAAAAGCAUGUUCCACUGUGGCAAGUCAUAAAGGCCAGGUGUUCAUUACGGGACUAAUGGACAGAGUAAAUCCUAUAACCUACUUAGAGAAAGGCCUUGUCUUUAUGAGCCAUGCUCUCUCCUGCACACAUGGACAGCCAAGAGAACUCUCCUUAGCCCAUUUUAACCAACAUGCUGUUUUCGUCCUUCCUUUCUUGGGUUUAGGUGUCCAUGGACAAUCAUUUGAUUGGAAUUGAUGUUUUAUGGCUCAGUAUAGCUGAUCCAUAACUUUGGCUUUGUUAGAAAGACAAGUGUGCGCGCACACACAAAGGCAGCUUCAAUGACCGUGUAAUGGAUCCCCCUCAGGUUGCCCCCAGUGGAUACGUCUACAUGAGUGGCACAGGGCUGGUGAGAGGCAGGUUAACAGACCAUAAGGGAGAGUAAAUGCUGCAGAUGGAAAGACUUUUAUAAGAACUUGUAAGUAUUGCUCUUUCUAUUCAUCCAGGAAUAGAAGCCAUUGUCAUCCCUUUGCACAUGCUCUGUUGUGGCAGCACAAUGUUUCAUCCUGCAGCGCGUUGUAGUUUAAGUGUGUGUGUCUGUCAGGGUUUAAGUGCAUGAUUAUUUGGGAAGGUAAGAGGCCUUUCCAUACUAUCACUUUGAUAAUGUUAACCCAUAGCAGGCAGAAGAAUGAAAUUGCAUUGUGCUUCCUCUGAGGGGAUUAAAGGCAGCACUCAUUUUGAUUGCUGCAUCAGGAUGUUUGUUAGUCGAACUUUCAGUAUGGAAAUGGUCUAAUUUUGUUUACUAUUUUAAUUAAGUACAGUUCCCAGUAAAAAAAUGGAAUGCUUUCUUUGCUGUCCAUCUCUGUAGUUCUCUCUUGUAAUCCUACUCUUCCCUCAAUCCUCUGUAGGCUCUUGCUUUCAUCCAGAGACUGUUAGUUGGGAUCAUCUCAAGACAUUACCUAUGCAGUCAAGGUAAUAGGACCCAUGGAUGGAUUGUUCCUUUCCUCUAGUAGGGUUUUUUUCCCCCCACUGGCUCAUUUUACAAAUCUGACAUCUGUGGUACCCCUACCUCAGACAGUCAUACUUUAUCUAACUCUUCUCCAGUGAGAAGAGAUUUGCAUGAACUUUAAAGCUCAUACAAGUUAUACAGAUUUUGAACGAAGAUGCAAAAAGCCAACUUUUCAAAUCUAUCUGAAGCAAAAAUACAACGAAAACCGAUGAAGAUGCAUACACACGCUACUGCUUGUAUGCAUAAUUGUAAAAAAUAGAAAAUCUUGACCAAAAAAUAGAAUGGCCUUGUAGGGAUAAGUUUUGUGUAUGAAAAGGUCUCCUACAAGCCACUGAAGCAAUGCUAAUACAUUUGAAUGGAAUUCUCGCAGUUUUAGUCCCAUGAUAAAAUGUGUAUUUGUCUGUGACUGAGACUAAACAAUACGAAGGAUAAAAUGCAAUCCAUUCAAAGAUGUGACGGAUACCUUCAGAAAGUGAUGCUGACAACUGGUCUCAGUACUAAACUCAAUCUGGAGUGAGAACACUAUGCCUAGUUCCAGAAAGAAACAAAAGUGCAUACAUAUACCAUACAGUAGAAGUAUUCUCAGCAAUGUUAGCAAAUGACAAUACCCCUCAAGGAGUGCUGAUUUUUAACACAGACAACUGCGUUUAAGAGUAACCCCGUUGCCUGUUUUUAAAAAUCUGUGUGCGGUGUGUAAUUUUAAAUGAGAUUACAGUGCCAGUGUAGCGCUGUGUUCCCAAGCCUUCUGUUGUGUUUUAUUGAUAAACACAUUUUGCUAUCCUUGUGCUUGCCCUAUCUCUGUCAUUUACUCAGAGCAUGGCAAUGCAAUUUAGGAUUUGGCCUCAUUCUGAUACUGCUUGACAGUAAAGUAAUUAUCCUUCGUACGAGGGGAUUCACGGAUGCCAAUGUUUUAUCUUUCUGACCAAUUACAAGAAUCUACAGUUGAAUACUUGCUGUUACUAAGUACUGAUGUAUGAAUUGAUUUGCUCAUUGAUCAGGUAUUAAGUAAUUAUUACUUUUGCUCAGACUUUUUUAAAUCUGUAUUUCUCUUAAAUACUGCAUCACUGACAUGAGCCAGGUGUGUGAUUUAUCAGGUAUGAGUCGAGGCUGUGAGUUAUGGCCGAACAUGAG